rnacentral:sRNA from 1 species
ACAACAAGUUUGCCUCCUUCAUCGACAAGGUGCGGUUUCUGGAGCAGCAGAACAAGCUGCUGGAGACCAAGUGGACGCUGCUGCAGGAGCAGAAGUCGGCCAAGAGCAGCCGCCUCCCAGACGUCUUUGAGGCCCAGAUUGCUGGCCUUCGGGGGCAGCUCGAGGCGCUGCAGGUGGAUGGGGGCCGCCUGGAGGUGGAGCUGCGGAGCAUGCAGGAUGUGGUGGAGGACUUCAAGAAUAAGUACGAAGAUGAAAUUAACCGCCGCGCAGCUGCUGAGAAUGAGUUUGUGGUGCUGAAGAAGGUAAGUGGGGAAGACAGGCUGGAGGAGGGUUGUCUGAAAACAUAUGGGACAAAGGACCACAGGAUCCUCUCACCUGAGCAGCCCAUGGGGACCUCUGGCCAAGGCCUGCCUGAGCUGUCCAAGAGGAAGACUGCACAGCCUGUCCUGUGGGAUGUGGAUGCUGCCUACAUGAGCAAGGUGGAGCUGGAGGCCAAGGUGGAUGCCCUGAAUGAUGAGAUCAACUUCCUCAGGACCCUCAAUGAGACGGAGUUGACAGAGCUGCAGUCCCAGAUCUCCGACACAU